rnacentral:rRNA from 1 species
GUGGGGAAUCUUAGACAAUGGGGGCAACCCUGAUCUAGCCAUGCCGCGUGAGUGAUGAAGGCCUUAGGGUUGUAAAGCUCUUUCAGUGGGGAAGAUAAUGACGGUACCCACAGAAGAAGCCCCGGCUAACUCCGUGCCAGCAGCCGCGGUAAUACGGAGGGGGCUAGCGUUGUUCGGAAUUACUGGGCGUAAAGCGCACGUAGGCGGAUCGGAAAGUUGGGGGUGAAAUCCCAGGGCUCAACCCUGGAACUGCCUUCAAAACUAUCGGUCUGGAGUCCGAGAGAGGUGAGUGGAAUUCCGAGUGUAGAGGUGAAAUUCGUAGAUAUUCGGAGGAACACCAGUGGCGAAGGCGGCUCACUGGCUCGGUACUGACGCUGAGGUGCGAAAGCGUGGGGAGCAAACAGGAUUAGAUACCCCUGUAGUCC